rnacentral:rRNA from 1 species
UACGUAGGUGGCAAGCGUUGUCCGGAUUUACUGGGCGUAAAGCGCGCGCAGGCGGUCCUUUAAGUCUGAUGUGAAAGCCCUCGGCUCAACCGAGGAGGGUCAUUGGAAACUGGAGGACUUGAGUGCAGAAGAGGAAAGUGGAAUUCCAAGUGUAGCGGUGAAAUGCGUAGAGAUUUGGAGGAACACCAGUGGCGAAGGCGACUUUCUGGUCUGUAACUGACGCUGAGGCGCGAAAGCGUGGGGAGCAAACAGG